UAUCACUGCAUCGGAGUUUGAGGAACCCCGUGCCGAUAUAAACCUAAUUUCAAGUCUGCAAUCCUCAUAUCGCCACAGAGGACCUCAAGGCAAACUUCGCUGUUCGAAACCAUUUCGCUAAACCUCAGUCAUGAAGACCGCUGCUGUAUUGAUCCUGGCCCUUGUGCUUGUAAUGGCUACAUUCGUCGUCGAAGAUAUUUCGGCGGCGUGUAAAAAAGAAGGAGCUUGUACUGGAAGCGAAUGCUGCGGUUUCUGUAGUUCAACAGGUCAGUGCAUCCCGUCCGCAGGCUCGAGGGGAAGGAAUGGCGGCAGACGGAGGUCUUUCUAGUAAAUGAGUCGGCUAAUUAAAGAGAAUCGUCCUCCAGGAUAUUUCGGCAGAAGACAUGCAUCCUCUUUUUUGCUGUACAUACUAGAAUGUUGACCUGGUAGCUGAUAAAUAAAAGCUGACA